rnacentral:tRNA from 1 species
GCUGAAGUGGUGGAACGGCAGACACCGGGGACUUAAAAUCCCCUGCCUUCGGGCGUACGGGUUCGAGUCCCGUCUUCAGCACCA